GUGCUCACUUUGGCAGCACGUAUACUAAAAUUGGAACCAUAUAGAGAAGAGUAACAUGGCCCUUAUGCAAUGAUAACAUGCAAAUUCAUAAAUAUCUGUGCAACUAA
rnacentral:snRNA from 1 species